rnacentral:rRNA from 1 species
UUACGGUCAAAUCACACUGAAACACCGGUUCUCGUUCGAUCACCGAAGUUAAGCAUCGUAGAGCCAGGUCAGUACUUAGAUGGGGACCGCUUGGGAACACCUGGUACUGUAAG